rnacentral:rRNA from 1 species
UUUGACCUACGGGGGGCAGCAGUUAGGAAUAUUCGUCAAUGGGGGAAACCCUGAACGAGCAAUGCCGCGUGAAGGAUGACGGUCCUAUGGAUUGUAAACUUCUGUUGUUAGGGAAGAACGACCUAAGUAGGAAAUGACUUAGGAGUGACGGUACCUUUCAAGAAAGCUCCGGCUAACUACGUGCCAGCAGCCGCGGUAAUACGGAGGAUGCGAGCGUUAUCCGGAUUUAUUGGGUUUAAAGGGUGCGUAGGCGGGCUUUUAAGUCAGCGGUAAAAAUUCGGGGCUCAACCCCGUCCGGCCGUUGA